rnacentral:lncRNA from 1 species
UGAAAUCGAACUUGCAUGAACAAGAUUCUUGAUUGUUCAACUCUGUAAAACACAUGGAAUCCCAAUUGACAUGGACUCAAGAAUGGAAGGCUAACGGAUCAAGGGUAAAUAAAGAAGCUAUGCACAACUCGGACGCACGAUGAAAGUAUUGCAUGUAUCUCUACCACUACUAUCGAAGAUAAGCAUGCAUUGAUCGAGCCCCAAAUUAAAGAUUGUACGGGAAGAACGACCACAUAGUCCGAUUUAUGUAUUGUCUUGAAGUGUUACUUUAAUGUGGUUAUUGUUAAUCCCUUUUUUGUAAAUGUUUAUCAUUUGUAUUUGAGCUUUUAAAUAAGUGAUGGGUCUAAAUAAGAAAGAAAAUUUUUGGGCUCAUAUUUUCCGCUGCGUCAUGUUUAAGUUCUUACAGGGAAUUGUUCAUUAUACGAACGGGUCAUGCCCGAAUUUUGUAAAUAAUAAUACUUAUUUGGAAUAAGAAAUAUGGGCGUUACAAGUUGGUAUCAGAGCCCUGGUUUGAGGGAAAUCAAGUAUG